rnacentral:rRNA from 1 species
ACGAGGUGCGAGCGUUAANUCGGAAUUACUGGGCGUAAAGCGCAUGCAGGUGGUUUGUUAAGUCAGAUGUGAAAGCCCGGGGCUCAACCUCGGAAUUGCAUUUGAAACUGGCAAACUAGAGUACUGUAGAGGGGGUAGAAUUUCAGGUGUAGCGGUGAAAUGCGUAGAGAUCUGAAGGAAUACCGGUGGCGAAGGCGGCCCCCUGGACAGAUACUGACACUCAGAUGCGAAAGCGUGGGGAGCAAACAGGAUUAGAUCCCCUGGUAG